rnacentral:lncRNA from 1 species
UUUGUGUUUGUGUGUGUGCAUUGCUUACUUUGUUUAUUGCAUUUAUACUUCAGUUAUUUACUUAAGAAUUGUUUUAUUUCGCUAUACUUAGAAAAAAAGUUUUGAAAAAUCCAAUUCACCUGAUGGGGACAUCAGAGCCCUUCAUCCAGAUGAUCUUGAGCCCCCGGAUUGAGUCAGACCCGUUUAUUUGCAUAUUUAUUUUAUUAUUUUAUUUCUGGGCUUAUUUGCAUUCUAGGGUUUAUUUGUGGUUUAUUUUAUUUCUGGGCUUAUUUGCAUUUUAGGGCUUAUUUGUGGUUUAUUUGUGUUAUUUGUGGGUUUAUUAGGAUUUAUUUCUGUGUAA